AUUGAACGCUGGCGGCAGGCCUAACACAUGCAAGUCGAGCGAGCGGCGGACGGGUGAGUAAUGUAUGGGGACUGCCCGAUAGAGGGGGAUAACUACUGGAAACGGUGGCUAAUACCGCAUACUAUCGGAUAACCCAUAGGGGAUUAGCUAGUAGGUUGGGUAAAGGCUCACCUAGGCGACGAUGUCUAGCUGGUCUGAGAGGAUGAUCAGCCACACUGGGACUGAGACACGGCGCAGACUCCUACGGAGGCAGCAGUGGGGAAUAUUGCACAAGGGGCGCAAGCCUGAUGCAGACAUGCCGCGUGGAUGAAGAAGGCCUUAGGGUUGUAAAGUACUUUCAGCGGGGAGGAGGGAAACGAAGAAGAAGCACCGGCUAACUCCGUGCCAGCAGCCGCGGUAAUAG
rnacentral:rRNA from 1 species